GUGCUCUCUUCAGCACACGUAUACUGGAAUUGGAACAAUGUAGAGAUUAGCAUGGCUCCUGCACAAGGAUGGCACAGAAGUUCAUGAAGCAUUAAAGAAAAAA